rnacentral:rRNA from 1 species
CCUACGGGGGGCAGCAGUGGGGAAUAUUGGACAAUGGGGGCAACCCUGAUCCAGCCAUGCCGCGUGUGUGAAGAAGGCCCUCGGGUUGUAAAGCACUUUCAGUGAGGAAGAACGCCUGGUGGUUAAUACCCAUCAGGAAAGACAUCACUCACAGAAGAAGCACCGGCUAACUCCGUGCCAGCAGCCGCGGUAAUACGGAGGGUGCGAGCGUUAAUCGGAAUUACUGGGCGUAAAGCGCGCGUAGGUGGCUUGAUAAGCCGGUUGUGAAAGCCCCGGGCUCAACCUGGGAACGGCAUCCGGAACUGUCAAGCUAGAGUGCAGGAGAGGAAGGUAGAAUUCCCGGUGUAGCGGUGAAAUGCGUAGAGAUCGGGAGGAAUACCAGUGGCGAAGGCGGCCUUCUGGACUGACACUGACACUGAGGUGCGAAAGCGUGGGUAGCAAACAGGAUUAGAUAUCCCAGUAGUC